rnacentral:rRNA from 1 species
UACGUAGGGGGCAAGCGUUGUCCGGAGUUACUGGGCGUAAAGCGCACGCAGGCGGUCGAUUAAGUUUGGAGUGGCAGUUGGUGGCUUAACUGCCAAAGUGCUUCGAAAACUGAUCGACUUGAGGGCUUCAGAGGGACACGGAAUUCCGGGUGGAGUGGUGAAAUGCGUAGAGAUCCGGAGGAACACCGAAGGCGAAGGCAGUGUCCUGGGGAGUACCUGACGCUCAGGUGCGAAAGCCAGGGGAGCGAACGGG